AGCUUUGUGCAGUGGCAGUAUCGUAGCCAAUGAGGUUUAUCCGAGGCAUGGUUAUUGCUAAAACAAACAAGUAAACUAUAUAUAUAUAUCCAUCCUAUAAAAGCUUUGAUUAAAG
rnacentral:snRNA from 1 species